rnacentral:lncRNA from 1 species
UGCACAUCGAUAAUGUUUUGAUGAUUUCUACAGUACUGUAGUAGAUUCUACUGUACAUACAGUUUACAUCUACAACAGUUUUUUUCUGGUCCAGAAAUCAUCAAAACAUUAUCAAUGUGCAAUUCUGACUUAAGUCCUUUUUGCCAAACAUAAAAAAACAAUCUGGUCAUAACUGACCAAUGAGCAAUUUUAAUUUAACCUAAAUUACUACUGUUUCUUAAAAUGAAGAGCUUACCCCAUAGCGUCUCUUAUCUAAUCUAACAAGAUCGUGCACUAUUAUUCUAACAUACACAGGCACAGCACACAAGCACUAUGCUCCGUUUUUCACUAUCACCUAUCACUCAAACUAGUUCAAAAGGAUUUGUCCUCUUCAAUCUUCUAGUUUGCCCAGUAGUAUCGAGGAGCUGGAUUUCCUCGAUAUUCUUGAACUUAUGAAGUUGAUGCUCGUGACCCUGCUAUCUUCUUGAUAUUUGUUGAUAAAGUAAUAACUUAUUAUGCAUGGACAAUGUGGACUUUCUUCCAACUAGCCAAUACACUUUUUAUAUCUCUCUUUUGCCUUUCAUAGCCACAAGGCUAUACAUUUCCUUCUUGGUUUUUUUUUGUAGGCCACUUUCAGCUGAUUCUAAAAAAAAUUAAAAUGAACGGUAAUUUUUCUAUUCUUUACAAUUAAAAAUCAAAAGAAAUAGGUACCUAUUUACAGGUAAUAAUAUGCAUGUAUAAAUGAUUCGUUUCAUAAAGAAUAAAGAAAAUUGAAAACGGAUUUUAUAAUACUUACAAAAUUGUUUAAACAAGAGAUCUAGCCAGAGCCCAGAGCAAAAACUAGCAGACAGUACAGCAAAAAAGCCACUAAUUUCCAUUUCCCACACCCCCUUAUCGAUGCACUUUUUUCCAAUCAAAAUUUUUACUUUACUAAAUUUUUAGGUUAUCGGUUAUGUUAUGAAAAUGAAAUGUGAUGACCAAUGACCACGAGACGCUACAUAGAUACUCGCGCGGCAAAUUUGAAAAUGAACGCAAAUUGAACAGUACAAUAAAUGGCCUCUCUUAAAAUCUUGUAAUGGAAAAUUUUACCCCUCCAGGAAGACAUUGUACUAUGUUCAUAGAAUAUCUUGUGGUAACUUUCCACCCAUAAUUUAAUCAGAUAGAUGUUCACGGAAUAGAACGGUAGUACUCGGACAAACAUAAGUUUGGGAAUAUGAUUCAAAUCUCGAUGAUGCGCAGUGGUUCUUGUUUACUAGCGUUACCAUGGAAACGGCCAGUUUGCUGAUCGCCAGUGUCGUAGUUAGAAGUGCAUUACGUAUCGCAGAGAGUGUUUAACUUAUUGGUUUAAUCGUGUUGGAUAUUUUAUUAAUAGUUUUUAGCUUAGUGUUUGGUAUAUUAGUAGUAGUAAUUAGUGUAUUAUUAAGACAUUUACCCCCGGUCUUUUCACCUCCGAAUAAAUAUGCUCUUAUCUGGCAGUUAGCUAUCUGGAGGAUAAAUAUUUAUUCGCCAGAUAAAAUGUACCCGUCUUUUCACGUCAAAUUAUGUUCCAGUUAGUUAUCCGGUAGAUAAGCUUAAAAGUAAGUUUGGAUUCCGAACACACCUGACUUUUGUGUUUAUUUUUAUAAUUUCAGCUUUAACCUAACCUAACAUAAUUAGAUUCAAAGAUGAUUUUAUCGAUUUUAUUUCCAGUUUGGACAAAGGAAAUGUAAGCAAAUCAAAGAAUUACAACUUAAUAGGUUUAGUCACAACUUAACUUAGUUUAGUUACAACUUAAUCAUAAGGUUUAGAAAUACAUUUCCAUAUUUUAAUAAGACAAUAUUGUUUUAGAAAGAAAACAUUGAUUAUGCUGAAAAAGUUUACUGGAGAGCUUGAACAAGAGUUACAGAUAUGACAAACACCUAGAAGAUGGAAUCCUGCGUUCUUAAAUAAAAAAGCUAGUUCCAGAAGUAAGCUACCAAUAAUAAACUAGAGAAUGUAUUACAAGAAAGAACAACACUAAUACUCAACAUAGCUCAAUUGCUUCAGGUAUAAAAAGAGGAGGAAAGGGUAGAACACAAGCGUGCCAGAGAAAAUGAAAGGGCAGAAGAGAGACACAAAAAUUCAUUGAUUUAUUAAAUUUAAUAAUUAAAUUAUACAAACGACAAUUAAAUAAAGAAUAAAAAAUGA